CACGAAGAGGCCUCCAUCGGUCUUUCAACCUUGCCUAUCGUACCCUUUUGUUGUUCCCUCGGCGGGGUAAAGCCCGCCGGCGGGAAGCUCGAAAAACCCUUUGCAAUCAGCAUCCAAAAACUCUGAUUACAAAACCUUAAAUCGUUA
rnacentral:misc_RNA from 1 species